rnacentral:rRNA from 1 species
AGCCUGGAGGCUACAUUCUAGGUCUUUUCUGCUCACUGAAUUUUUUAAGAGCCGCGGUAUUUUGACCGUGCUAAGGUAGCGAAAUCAAUUGUUCCUUAAUUAGGGACCUGUAUGAAUGAAUACACAGGGGGCGACUGUCUCUUUUUUAGUGUAUCGAAUUUGCAGAGUAGGUGCAAAUGCCUACUUUUAAAUGAAAGACGAUAAGACCCUGGGAGCUUAACGGAAGUUUUAUAGUGAAAACGAUUUUGCUGGGGCGGCAUCGUUUAUACCUAACGAUAAAAACAAAACAAUAAGAUUAAGAAAAAGCUACCCCAGGGAUAACAGCGUAAUUUUAUUUUUAGCUUUCGACCUCGAUGUUGGACUAGGAACACGGCAGGUUAGAAGCC